rnacentral:rRNA from 1 species
GACAGAGGGUGCAAACGUUGUUCGGAAUUACUGGGCGUAAAGCGCGUGUAGGCGGCUUUGCAAGUCGGGCGUGAAAUCCCAUGGCUCAACCAUGGAAGUGCACUCGAAACUGCAGAGCUAGAGUCCUGGAGAGGAAGGUGGAAUGCUUGGUGUAGAGGUGAAAUUCGUAGAUAUCAAGCGGAACACCGGUGGCGAAGGCGGCCUUCUGGACCGGUUCUGACGCUGAGGCGCGAAAGCGUGGGGAGCAAACAGG